rnacentral:tRNA from 1 species
GGGAUAUAGCUCAGUUGGUAGAGUGCUUGUCUUGGAUGCACAAAGCCCUGGGUUUAAUCCCCAGCACCCA